rnacentral:rRNA from 1 species
UACGUAGGGGGCGAGCGUUGUCCGAAGUUACUGGGCGUAAAGAGCGCGUAGGCGGGUCUUUAAGUGAGGGGUGAAAGGUUCGGGCUCAACCCGGACACUGCCUUUCAUACUGGAGACCUUGAGUGCGGGAGGGGCGAGUGGAAUGGUCGGUGUAGCGGUGAAAUGCGUAGAUAUCAGGAGGAACACCAAUGGCGAAGGCAGCUCGCUGGAACGGUACUGACGCUGAGGCGCGAAAGCGUGGGGAGCAAACAGG